rnacentral:rRNA from 1 species
GCUGGCGGCAUGCCUAACACAUGCAAGUCGAACGGAAACGACGAAAACAAUCCCUUCGGGGUGCGUCUUCGGGCGUCGAGUGGCGGACGGGUGCGUAACGCGUAGGAAUCUACCUUAUAGUGGG